UUUGAAUUUUGAAACUUAUAGGUGUCAGUCGAUCCCGGUCUGCCUCUACAUCGGCAACAACGCCCGGACUGCCUUUACAGCGGCAGUAAUGCCAUGUACCAUCCAAGGCAUUGUCCACGACUAGUUCCCCACAAAAUGUAAGAUUCCAGACUCAGCUCUCACAGAUGUAGUUCGUCUGUCGAGAGGCCGAGGGCAAGCAGACCAUGUUUCAGAACUCGAAUAAUCAACAUCUUUUUGUUAUAAUA
rnacentral:lncRNA from 1 species